rnacentral:lncRNA from 1 species
GUCUCAGCUCGAGCAUUCCUAGCGCCAACACGCCCUCAGCAGGUAGAUGAAACUCAAGAGAAAAGGUGUGGAUAAAUGAAACUAGCCCAUGAUGAACCUGUUUUCUCCGUGACCACAAUAUUAACCAGGAUGAAUGGCGGUGGCAGUGGGCCUGCAUCACAGGUUGCAGCAGAUGUUCUCAAUAUUUCUAUUAAAAUUUCCUUAUUUCCAUAUGCAAGAGGAGCCCCAGAGCUGCAUCCUUAUGGUAGCUACCAUGCCGUGAUGUAAGCUGCCAUUCACUGGGGAGCUUUGGCAAUAGAAUUGGCUAGAUCAGGAAGCCUAUGUCAACUAUGGAACAACAACUUGCAGCUCAUCUCUAUUGAUGAUACACUGCCUCUAGGACUGGGACAGAUAGCCACUGAGUACCUGCUUCAAAUCACCCUGCACGUUUUCUCUUUGGAAAGAUAAGCACUGGAGAACCAUCUCGUUACCUUCAGCAGAAAUGGAAACAAAUCAAGACAUUAAGAAUGCCGCAGUGGACAGCAGUUAUGCAAGGUUCAGCAGAGGAAGUUUUCAAGAUGGUGUGCCUCACUAGCCAGAAAUCAGAAAAGAUCGAAGCUAGCCUUUUCAUCUCAGCUGCUCCUUAAAUCAGUGCAACCCCUCCAAAUUAAUGUGAAUUGAAACUUGCAUUGCUUUUCAACUUAAUUGAAUACUUACUAUAUGUGAACCACUGCACAAAAUAGGGGAAGAAGAUGUGGGAGACAAAGAUGUGGAGCCUGUCUUCAAUAAAUUUACAGUUAGUUUCAGGGUACAUUGUUUUUCUUCUGCUGUUAAUUAGGUGUAUCCCCAAGACAAUAAAUACAUGAAUGGAAAAGUAUAUUCUGUGUUUUAAGUCUCUUUAAUAAAAAACAAAACAAAAUCCAAAAAAACUCCUAACAUGGCAACUCAGGACAUUUUAAUCCUUUUUUUUGUUGUUGGGCUUCUGAUAGGAUCCAUUUUAUUGAUUCCAUAAAUAUUUAGUAGACUUUAGACAUAUUAAUACAUUGUAGUUUGAGUUAAUUUGCAUUAAAUUCUGUUUUUUUCCCCUUAGGUAUAGAUUGUCUGUUGGAAAAAUAUAUUGCUUGUGGAUUUCUUGGGGAGUGGGAAGGUGAAUUAUACCUGUUGUCUCUACAGUCCACUACCUUCCACACCCUAGGGCAGUGGUCCCCAACCUUCUUGGCACCAGGGAUCAGUUUCCUGGAAGACAAUUUUUCUGUGGAUGGUGUGGGGAUGGUUUUGGGAUGGAACUGUUCCACCUCAGAUCAUCAGGCAUUAGUUAGGCUCUCAUAACGAGUGCGCAGCCUAGAUCCCUCACAUGCACAGUUCACAGUAGGGUUUGCGCUGCUAUGAGAAUCUAAGGCUGCCACUGAUCUGACAGGAGGCAGAACUCAGGUGGCAAUGCUUACUGGCCCACUGCUCACCUCUUGCUGUGCGGCCUGGUUCCUAAUAGGCCAUGGACCCCCACAGACGGGUACUAGUCUGCAGCCUGUGGACCCCAGCCCUAGGGGCCUGCCAUUCUGAGUGAGUUAUUAGCAUGAAGAAGAGGAAGAUCUGGAUCAAACGUGGGUGAUGGUACUCAGAGACCCAAGAUAGGAUAGGGAUGGAACAAAAUCCAUCUGGGCAACGGCUCUAUGAAAAUUUGGCUAAGUAAUUAUUUCAGUAUUCAUUGUAUUCAUUGUCCUUCGUGUUCCAUAAGUUAAAUGACUGUCUAAUUUUUCCAAAAAUUUAUUUCUGACUUGAGAAUAAGUGUGUCAUGAUUUUCCCAGUGUAAAGACACUGAUAUAACUGUAGAUACCAGACAUUUUAUGUAGUGUCUAUGACACAUUUUAGUAUGUAUGAGCCAACAAUAGACAUGUCUUUGUCUUGAGGAGUGUCCAUCUGAAUUGAAAAUGUGUCAGCUUUUUUUUAACAUCAUCAACAGACUUCUUAAUUAAGCUGCCAAUACAUACUGCCAAUAGCACUGUGUGCUGUCUGAGAAAUGCAUUGUGUAAGUGCUAUUUCCAUCUUAUUAAAUAAACAAUGUUGCUCUGUAUAAACUGGAUUUAAAGUGUUCUUUGAAUGAGGCAUUAUAUUGCUCCAUAAAUAAUGUGAUGUGAAUUCUCAUAUGAUCCCUUUUAACUUAAUUUCUAAAAAAAUAUUAUUUGCUCCUCAGUAAGGAAUAGCUCUAAUUGGACUGGUAACUUUAGUGAUAUGAUUUGUCUGUAACAGGCUGAAUCGCCCCACUCCCAAACUCCUGGUCGUGAUACUGGAUAUUUGUUAUGCCACUUUUAGUUUGCAUGAGGUAUCUUCCAGGAAGUAUUAGUUAUUAACUUGUGUUCUACUAAACUGUAGAUAUUUAUUUCCUGUUCUGGAAGAUUUCUUGGAGUGUCCAUCUGUGCAUUCCUGGUGCCUAGUGUAGUCUUGCUAAUGGAAUAGCACCUUUAUUGGUGCUACUUAGGGGUUGGUAGCUUACAAUCAAUCUACUUGGAACGUAUCCAAAUAAACUGGAUAUUUUUAUACA